AGAACGAACGCUGGCGGCAUGCCUAAUACAUGCAAGUCGAACGAACACUUCGGUGUUAGUGGCGCACGGGUGCGUAACGCGUGGGAAUCUGCCCUUGGGUUCGGAAUAACAGUUGGAAACGACUGCUAAUACCGGAUGAUAUCGAAAGAUCAAAGAUUUAUCGCCCAGGGAUGAGCCCGCGUAGGAUUAGCUAGUUGGUGAGGUAAAGGCUCACCAAGGCGACGAUCCUUAGCUGGUCUGAGAGGAUGAUCACGCCACACUGGGACCGAGACACGGCCCAGACUCCUACGGGAGCAGCAGUAGGGAAUAGUGGACAAGUGGGCGCAAGCCUGAUCCAGCAAGUGCCGCGUGAGUGAUGAAGGCCGUUAGGGUUAGUAAAGUCUUACUUUACCGAGAUAGUAUAAUGAC
rnacentral:rRNA from 1 species